rnacentral:rRNA from 1 species
UACGUAGGGUGCGAGCGUUAAUCGGAAUUACUGGGCGUAAAGCGUGCGCAGGCGGUUUUGUAAGCCAGAUGUGAAAUCCCCGGGCUUAACCUGGGAAUGGCAUUUGGGACUGCAAGGCUUGAGUGCGGCAGAGGAGACUGGAAUUCCUGGUGUAGCAGUGAAAUGCGUAGAUAUCAGGAGGAACACCGAUGGCGAAGGCAGGUCUCUGGGCUGACACUGACGCUCAUGCACGAAGCGUGGGAGC